GCUCUCAGCCUCAUCUGACCCAGCCCCUAUUCAAGAUGGAGACGCCCUGGUUCAGACGCCUCUGACAGAUGCUCCAAGAUGAUGUGAAGCAGAUACAAGUGCCCUUCUUGUCUCAUGGACUCAAUCAGGAGAUAUGAAGAUUGACAACUGAUUGGCAAAAGUGAAGUCACUGUGUGACCUGUCCUGAAAAGAUGGUGGCUGCAUCUAGAAACAGUGACGUGUUUGGGGAACAAUGGAGUAGAGUCAGAGACGCACCUACUAAGACAUUUUGGCUGCUGGGCACCUGAACAUGAGCAAUGUGAAGCUUCCGGUGCGUGUUUCCAUAGAGAGUUUUCUGAUAAUGUGUCAGUUAUUUUUAGCCACAAAACACUAUAAGACAACUGAGCAUGCUUUUCAGUGGCUAACAACUAUAAGCAUUAAUUUUGCUCAUGCACUAAGGGAUGACUGAGCCCUUCUGCUGGCCUGGGCCACGCCUAACUGAUUGCAGCUGGGCUAGCUCUUGCAUCAGCUGGUGGAUUGGCCUGGGGCAGGCUGGCCUGGGGUAGCUUUGGUUGGGAUGAUUUUUUUCUGCUCUGUGGUCUUUCAUCUUGUGAUAGGCUAGUCUCGGCUUUUCCUACAGUGGAGGCAGGGGUCUGAGGGAAGAAGUGGAAACACUUGAGGCCUGGGAGGCCUACUCUGAUAAUAAGCCAAGUCACCUCUGCUGCAUUCUAUUGGUUAGAGCAAGCCACAGCUCAGCCCAGACACAAGAGUUGGGCAACACCCUCUACUUCUUGAUGAGAGGAGCUAACAUGUAACUUUGCAAAUGGAAUAAAUAUAGAAAAAGGUGAAAAUUCAGGGCCAUUUUUGCAAUCAGUCCAUUACAGAUGGUUUAUUAUUGAGAAACAUCUAUACAUCCAUAUCCAUAUAAAAUUACAUAUCUGUAUCUAUUUUUGAUGUUAUAGUUGACCCCUGAUCCAGAGAAGAAAGGGAUAGAGUGUAAUAAUCUCUGCUUUCUGGUGGAUCUCCUGUUGUUGAGUAAAAGGGAAUAUGAUCAGGAAAUCACAAAUAUCAAAAGAAUGGAAUGGAUAACUGACAAAUGAUUUAUAUUCCAUAUGCGUAUGUCACAUUUAAUAAAACAAAAUUAUGGCUGAGCACAGUGGCUCACACCUAUAAUCUUAGCACUUUGGAGGCCGAGGAGGGCGGAUCACAAGGUCAAGUUUAAGACCAGCCUGAACGACAUGGUGAAACCCCGUCUCUAC
rnacentral:lncRNA from 1 species